UACGUAGGGGGGCUAGCGUUGUCCGGAAUCAUUGGGCGUAAAGAGCGUGUAGGCGGCCCGGUAAGUCCGCUGUGAAAGUCGGGGGCUCAACCCUCGAAUGCCGGUGGAUACUGUCGGGCUAGAGUGCGGAAGAGGCGAGUGGAAUUCCUGGUGUAGCGGUGAAAUGCGUAGAGAUCAGGAGGAACACCAAUGGCGAAGGCAGCACUCUGGGACGUGACUGACGCUGAGACGCGAAAAGCGUGGGGGAGCAAACAGG
rnacentral:rRNA from 1 species